GUGCUCACUUCGGCAGCACAUACACUAAAAUUGGAACAAUACAGAGAUUAGCGUGGCCUCUGCGCAAGUAUGACAUGCAAACUCGUGAAGCGGUCCAUAUUAAA
ensembl:snRNA U6 U6 spliceosomal RNA